GACGAACGCUGGCGGCGUGCUUAACACAUGCAAGUGGUGCGACGAACCGGGCUUCGGCCCGGGGCCAAGCCGCGAACGGGUGAGUAUCACGUGGGUAACCUGCCCCGAUGACCGGGACAACCCGAGGAAACUCGGGCUAAUACCGGAUGUGCUCUCCCCACAUCAGUGGGACGAGUAAAGGAAGCUUCGGCCUCCGCAUUGGGAUGGGCCCGCGGCCCAUUAGCUUGCUGGUGAGGUAAGAGCUCACCAAGGCAACGAUGGGUAGCUGGUCUGAGAGGACGAUCAGCCACACUGGGACUGAGACACGGCCCAGACUCCUACGGGAGGCAGCAGUGGGGAAUCUUGCGCAAUGCGCGAAAGCGUGACGCAGCAACGCCGCGUGAGGGAAGACGGCCUUCGGGUUGUAAACCUCUUUCAGGAGGGACGAAGGUUCAGGCGCGAAUAGCGUCCUGGACUGACGGUACCUCCAGAAGAAGCCCCGGCUAACUACGUGCCAGCAGCCGCGGUAAUACGUAGGGGGCUAGCGUUGUCCGGAAUCAUUGGGCGUAAAGAGCGCG
rnacentral:rRNA from 1 species